UCCAGACUCCUACGGGAGGCAGCAGUGGGGAAUAUUGCACAAUGGGCGAAAGCCUGGUGCAGCAACGCCGCGUGAAGGAAGAAGGGUUUCGGCUCGUAAACUUCUAUCAACAGGGACGAAAGAAAUGACGGUACCUGAAUAAGAAGCCCCGGCUAAAUACGUGCCAGCAGCCGCGGUAAUACGUAUGGUGCAAGCGUUAUCCGGAUUUACUGGGCGUAAAGGGAGCGCAGGCGGCGCGCCAAGUCUGAUGUGAAACCCCGGGGCUCAACCCCGGGCAUGCAUUGGAAACUGCCGGGCUGGAGUGCCGGAGGGGUAAGCGGAAUUCCUGGUGUAGCGGUGAAAUGCGCAGAUAUCAGGAAGAACACCGGUGGCGUAGGCGGCUUACUGGACGGCAACUGACGCUGAGGCUCGAAAGCGUGGGGAGCAAACAGGAUUAGAUACCCGUGUAC
rnacentral:rRNA from 1 species